UACAGAGGGGGCAAGCGUUGUUCGGAAUUACUGGGCGUAAAGGGCGCGUAGGCGGCCUGUUAAGUCGAACGUGAAAUCCCUGGGCUCAACCCAGGAACUGCGUCCGAUACUGGCAGGCUUGAAUUCGGGAGAGGGAUGCGGAAUUCCAGGUGUAGCGGUGAAAUGCGUAGAUAUCUGGAGGAACACCGGUGGCGAAGGCGGCAUCCUGACCGAUAUUGACGCGUGAGGCGCGAAAGCCAGGGGA
rnacentral:rRNA from 1 species